UGAACUUCAAACUUACAGUCCAAUUACAUGAUUUGGAGCAGGUUAUUGACUAUUUUAACGAGGCACUGGAGGGCUCAAGUAUAGAUCUGUCAUAAGCCAGUAUCUCUGUGUAGACUGAUCUUGGGAAACAAACAAUUACAUGACCGCCACUGCUAAGGCCAUUAAUGAAGCUCUCAGAUGUGGGAACAUAGUCAAGUUUGUGCACUGAAAGGCCCUCGAGGAUGUCAGAUUUAAAGAUUAUUCAAUUCCAUGUGGAUGGAAGGUCCUCCUAGUUUUCAGUGCUUACAUCUAGACACAUCUCGUCAUGGAAGUGUCCUUGACUUCCAUCCUUGGAGACAAUGGUCAAUUGUAGCAAGUACCUUAUCAGCGACAGAGAAGAAUGGUUGCCUUGAUCAUUUUCUUCAGUUAGACGGGCAUAGGUUUCUCAACCAAUGGCUCCAAGAAACUCAAAAGUGUAGUGGUGGCACAAGUGACAGUUAUAUGGAAGAAUUAAUCAGUGUAGUGCUAGGAGCACUUGAGAAGCUGCCUCUAGAUGAGAGCUUAACUGCUUCAGGAAUUGUGGAAACUGUCAAACAUCUCCUUGGCAACAGGAGCUUGAAAGUCUAGGAGAGGGCAAGAACUUUGUUUGAUAGAUGGAUUUAUUUUUAUUUAUU